GAGAGUUGGCCAACUUUC
rnacentral:snRNA from 1 species